GAUAAUCGCUCGCGCGUGCGACGAAGCUAGGAAAAUACCGGGGAAGCAGCACAAUCCAGCAUCCAGGAAAGAUCGAGGCGAGGCAACCAACUUUUCGACGCUUUAUCCUCGAUAUAUCGAUUACUCGCAGAUGCCCAAUAAUGCUGUUCGUUACAAUUAUUGUGACACUGCUCAUGGAACCUGUCUUCCCAUUCCGUGGGCCCCAUCAUCCGAGAAGCAGUGUUUUGCAUAAUCACUACGUGCCCGAACCGUCAGUGAAAAUAACUCAAAAUGAAGAGCUUUUGCAAGAUGCGACGCAUCUCGCUGAGGACAUGGGCUCGAUGGCCGAACACAUCGACAUCGUGAAUAUGAACGCUCAGGAACUGGAAUUUUAUUACUUCAAGUUUCACGAUAUUGACAAUAAUACGAAACUCGAUGGACUCGAACUUCUUCGCGCUCUUCAACACUCCCUCCACGGUGAGGAAAAUGAUGAAAAUUCAAACGAAGUCGAUCACGUGCACGCCGAUCAGGAACACGCCGUUGUCGAUGACUCGUGGAUCAUUGAACUGAUAGAUCGAGUUUUGGCUGAAGACGAUUUGGACAACGACGGUUACUUAGGAUACAUUGAAUACGUUUUAGGCAGGCAAAAAGACCAGGACGAAAAAGAGCGAAGAAAAAUAAAAUUAAAAAUCUGAGGAUAAAGCGAGUUUGAAUGAAUUUGAAUGAAUCCGAGAUCGGAGCAAGAGAUCUAUUCCGGAUUAAAUCAACGGAUCACAGGCAAUCGAACAUCGGUCACGACAAUACAUUUUUCCCAGAGGUCCCUCACUACUUGGACCUAAAAAUGAAGAAAAAAUUGAUGUAUUUUAAUCAUUUAGAGUGUGUGUCAAAAAUUGUGAGGUACAAAUAACAGUAUUUUUGUGCUAAAAAAUGAACUAUAACAAUGUUUUGUAUGGAAUUGUUGAAACUGA
rnacentral:misc_RNA from 1 species